CAGCUUCGGCAGCACAUGUACUAAAAUUGGAACGAUACAGAGAAGAUUAGCAUGGCCCCUGUGCAAGGAUGACGCACAUUUGUGAAGCAUUCCAUAGUUAA
rnacentral:snRNA from 1 species